rnacentral:lncRNA from 1 species
CUGGAAUAUUCUGGAAUGGGAAAUCAUUAGAUGGGAUUAACUCCCUGAUUAAGUAGAGAAUACAUGGUUCUAUUCCCCUCACCACGUGGAGGGCAUGGGAAAGUAUUCCCCAAAUGGGCUGAAAAACAUUGCAACAGCACUACACCAACGGAGAAAUACUCCCAUUAUGGGGCAGAGGGCAUGGACUCACAUAGUCUAGCAGACAGCAUGGUGAUCCAUUCCCUAUUCUGAGCAGAAGACACAGGGAUAUAAUUCACAUAAAUAUUUAUAUGUAUUCAUAUUGCAUGAAAUGAAUAUGUAUAUAUAUAAAUGUGGACAUCAAUAUGAAUAUAAAUAUGCACAUGAAUAUGUGUGUGAAUAUAUGAACAUGAAUAUGAAUAUGUAUGUAUGAAUAUUGUUAUUAAUACAUACAUGAAUAUUAUCAUAAACGUGCAUGAAUAUGAACAUGAACCUGUAUGUGUGUAUAUGAAUAUUUGCACAUAUGAAUACAAAUAUGAACAUGAUUAUUAACAUAAAUAUGAAUAUAAAUGCAUGCGUGUACACAAAUAUGAAUGUAUAUGAAUAUGAACAUGCACACAAAUAUGAACCCAUGUAGACAUACCUGAAUACAUGUAUGAAUAUGAACAUACACAUGAAUAUGAAUAUGUACACAUACCUGACUACAUGUAUGAAUAUGUUCAUGCACAUGAAUGAAUAUGAAUGAGCACAUGUACAUGAAUAUGAAUAUCAGUGUGCAUAAGAUAU